UCGCGGCCUAUCAGCUUGUUGGCGGGGUAAUGGCCCACCAAGGCGACGACGGGUAGCUGGUCUGAGAGGAUGGCCAGCCACAUUGGGACUGAGAGACGGCCCAGACUCCUACGGGAGGCAGCAGUGGGGAAUCUUGCGCAAUGGUCGAAAGACUGACGCAGCGACGCCGCGUGUGGGAGGACGCCUUUCGGGGUGUAAACCACUGUUGCCCGGGACGAACUGGUCGAUUCGUCGACCUUGACGGUACCGGGUGAGGAAGCACCGGCUAACUCCGCGCCAGCAGCCGCGGUAAUACGGAGGGUGCGGGCGUUGUCCGGAAUCAUUGGGCGUAAAGGGCGCGUAGGUGGCCCGGUCAGUUCGUGGUGAAAGCGCGGGGCUCAACCCUGCGUCGGCCAUGAAUACUGCCGCGGCUGGAGCACUGUAGAGGCAGGCGGAAUUCCGGGUGUAGCGGUGGAAUGCGUAGAGAUCCGGAAGAACACCGGUGGCGAAGGCGGCCUGCUGGGCAGUUUGCUGACACUGAGGCGCGACAGCGUGGGGAGCAAACAGGAUUAGAUACCCUGGUAGUCCACGCCGUAAACGAUGGGCACUAGGCGCUUGGGGGAGCGACCCCCCGAGGGCCGGCGCUAACGCAUUAAGUGCCCCGCCUGGGGAGUACGGA
rnacentral:rRNA from 1 species